AGUGCCUUAAAAAACCUUGAUCAAAGGACUUCACAUGUUCAUGUAGUUGAUCAACUUCCAUCUCAUUUGAACCUUCACUCAUCCUAUUUGGAGUAGUACUUGAAGUAGAGUUAAGCAUUUGAUAAUGCACAUACAUACAGUUCAUAAGUUCUCUUACUCUCCUAACCAAAUCAUUUACCUUAUCAGAAGCAUAAAUCAAGUUGUAGUAAUAUUUCACACAUUUCAAUUUAUACCGAGGAUCCAACCCUACC
rnacentral:lncRNA from 1 species